rnacentral:rRNA from 1 species
GAGAGGUGCUGCAUGGCUGUCGUCAGCUCGUGUUGUGAAAUGUUGGGUUAAGUCUCGCAACGAGCGCAACCCCUAUCGUCUGUCGCCAGCAUUAAGUUGGGCACUCUGACGAGACUGCCUGGGUUAACCAGGAGGAAGGUGGGGAUGACGUCUAGUCCUCAUGGCCCUUAUGUCUAGGGCUACACACGUAAUACAAUGGCGCGUACAAAGGGAAGCGAACUCACAAGGGGGAGCAAAUCUCAAAAAGCGCGUCUCAGUCCGGAUUGGAGUCUGCAACUCGACUCCAUGAAGUUGGAAUCGCUAGUA